rnacentral:lncRNA from 1 species
AAACGGUGAAACGGUGGGAAGCAAUCAAUCAUGAAGUCAAUUAGGUUUCACUGCUUCAUUAUAAUGAUCAUUGCUUCAUUAUUGAUAGUUGAAACCCAAGAUUCAUCAAUUGAAAUCGAUUGAAACGCCCGAUUGAAUAUUUCAUCCCUUCCAUUUGAUUCUUGCACCACACAUAAAUCUACCAUCACCGAUAUCUAUUUCCAGAAGACAUAUCAAGAAUCAAGUCAACAGGGUCAACAACGAAGCUCUCCUGCUUCGAAAUUAAAAAUGGAUUCACAUGCUGGUUUACUAAUAGUGGAUCUUCGUUUUGGUGAUGUCAUUGAUGACGCGGCUCGAUACUUUAAGUAUGCAUAUGACAGAGUUGGAUUUGCUGUUGGACUCUUGGAGUGAACUCUGUUCUCAAGUUAGCGCAGCCGCCUCUGGUAGCCACAGUUUGAGAAACAUGUCAUUUUGGAACGACUGAGUAUGGAUGGCCUGCUAACUCUUUCUUUGUCUUUUUUUCAUAACUAAGAAUGCAUUAGUUAUGAUUACAGAAACCAAUAUUAUAACAAUGAUAAUCUGACUCUUUCAAUAAACUAUUUCGGACCUGCAACUUUAAACCCAUUUGAUCCCUUCUCCUUUUAACUGCAUUUUAAUUUUUUAUAUGAUCCCUUUGAGACAAUGUGCAACUCAAUUCAUAAGUAAACAGGUUGAAAUUGCCACCUAACAAGUCAAAUGGGUUGUGUUUAAAUAAUUAGCUACAUGGGGAACGGGUCAAACGGUUAAAAGUACCCGCAAUGUCUAAUUUUUAAUGCAUAUCAAGUUGUUUUUAGCCAAGGAUUUAGUUUAUUAUUAUAAUAUAUGUUUUUAUAAAUUAUAGUGGGUAUUGGGAAUUGUUUAUUAUACUGUUUUGAGAUUGCUUAUCCAAAGUUAUAAUUUGAUUAUUUGUGAUUCAAAUAAGUUGGUUUAAAUAAGCAGUGUGAAGUUUCUUUUUCCAAACUCUCAAUAAGCAAACUGAAGAAACACGGAUUCACCGCCGGGGUGAUUGUGACCGCUUUCUCUAAGAGGAUGGAGAAUCACACCUUGUUUUUCCUCUUGAACCUAGAUCUGCAAUGAAGAAGAUAGAAAAGUGGGGAUGUAGAGAUUGCCGGUAGGAGAAGAAUCCCUUAUUCCAGCUACAAAAAGUGUGACGGCUCCAUAUCUUGUGCCCUAAUAAUGAGCAUUGAUGAUGCAAAGAGGAUAAUUGAUCUUGUUACAGGCAUUCCUUGCAAAAUCAACCUCAGCACAUUCAACCCGCAUAGUGGGUCCCGCUUCCAACCCUCAACAGAUAAUGAUCGAGUUUAGAAAUACGCAGACUGAAAGUGGUUGCCCUGUGUUCAGGAGACUGAGUAGGAUUGAUGGUCAAAUGGCUGCCUAUUGUCAACUCGGUAACCCAGGUGAUUAACAAGCACCUUUCCUCAAAGUCCUACCAAGUCUUUUGAAACUUUUGCGAUAUCCCUUGGUGUAAACGUAUUAACUUGUACAUCAUGUUUUAAGUGUGGUGUGUUUGUUUGAAUGA